GAUGCAUGUUUGUAUACUUGAUUUGAUUUAUGUGGUGUUGACAGUAGUUUAGUUAACUCAGGAAAUUGGGAAUUACAUGUUGGUUUAGAUUCAGGAAAUUGAGGCCUAGUCAAGUUUGAAGCUCAGGUUUUUAGAAUUUCAUGUACAUAGUUGCUUUAGGUUCAAAGCAUCAAAUAGUGCCACACAUUUGGUUGUAGUUCACUGGCAACAAGUUCUGUUGUUAUGAAAGGUUUAGAGGCCAUAACAUAUUUAGGAAAGCUGUGUAUAUCAUUAGAUAGUGAAAUGUUGGCUGCUUGAAACUGUUACAAGUGUAGCUGAUAGAAAGGAAGCUUUAGUUUUUAUCGCAUCCUUCUCGUGAACAUUGAACUGAGUUCAAAUGACCGGCUGCAGGGUUGGAAGGGAAUAGAAUAGGAGGUUGUGAUUAUAUUAGAUACUUUCAUGAAUGUUGAAACCAGUUCGAUGACUAGCUGCAUGGUUGGAAGGGAAGGCACCGGAGCUCCAUCUUGCAAAGCGUCCUGCACAAUUAGACGGAGAUGAUCAAAACGUUUCAAAUUGAUUUCACUGAAGAACGGGUUUGAAGGUGGAGUACAUCGUGUGGAUUUGAACGGGUUUGUGCACAUUUUCGGAUACGAAUGCGGCGUUGAAAUCGAUGAAUUUAUGAAUGGGUUGAGGGAUCCAUACUGUUUAGGCGUUGGACAGGGGGCAAGAGGCAGGAAUAUAAAGCCUGACUCUAUUGUUAAGUUUUUCUUUUUUGUGGCGAAUCAUCAUACCUCUGAUGGUGAGGAGGAAGAAUUUCAUGAUUUGGCAAGGGAAAAAGUAGAAGAAGGGAAUGUUAGAGCUGCCAUUGAGCUCUUUCAGAGGGCGGUGAGUAUAACUCCAUCUAUGGCACAUAAGCUGAUAAAGGUAAUUACUGUCUAAUUUAUUAGGUUUAUUUCUUACUUUCUAUCAAGCUUGAAUUUAAUUGUCAUGCCUUUGCCUUUUAAUUUGGUAUUUCUGAAUCGAACCUCAUCCUGGUUGCUUUACUUGAUGCACAUCCUUUUCUGGUCAUUCUGUUCUUAUUAUCAGAGCUCAUUGCCUUUUCAUUUAUCUUUAACCCAGAGUCCACAAGUAACAUCUGCACUGUUGGCCUUCCAGAUUCUGAGAUCAGAGAACGUUGAAUUUGUUGUAGUGAAACAGCAGAAAUACAAAAAAAGGAGGCAUACUUAUACCAAUAUACAUUCCUUUUACACUUUCCCCAGUCUAGUACUGAAACUUUGAACUUUGACAAACACCUACACCUUAGCUAUCCACUUCAUAUCUUAGUUGGACCAGUAUGUAUCUAUAUGAGUACAUAUAUAUGGUUCCUCUCUAUUGCGCAUAUUUUUUCCUUCCAUUUUCUAUCAUUUCGAUCCCUACUUGUCCAUGCAUAUAUGGUAAUAUGGAUGUUUUCCUUUGAUUUCAUAAUCAUCGUAAUCCAUCAGAACUUCAAGCGGUGAUAUGUAACUUCAUUGCAAUAUAAUGGUCCAACUAGUUUGAUGAGAUCCACAAUAUGUUUAUAUUCUUCAAUUAAUCUUCAGUACAUGUAUAUAUGAUCGUUGAAAAGUAGGUAUGAAACAGUUAUGCAUGAGAAACUUAGAGAAGACAAGCUGGAUGAGACUAGCGUGCUUUAGGCUUGAGGUGUGGAAGAUAUUGUUAACAUUAGAAAGUCUUCUAAAGAAGAAUCAAGUAACACGGUAGAGUUGCAGGACCUAGAGGCUUUGUAAACUCUUCACAAUUUUGGAGGCAUACAAUUGUCUUUCAUACUCUGCAUUAUUGUUUGAUGUAUUAUUCCGAUUACUGUGUGAUACACUACUGAUAUGUAGUGUGUUUUC